AUCUGGGCGGCGAAAUUCAGGAUGGCUGGCGGGCCCUCGGGCACGUCCGGCCGUUUGAUGUUUUCGUCGCCGUUCGCAGACGUCGCGACCUGUUUGUCGUCGGUCCCUGCUCGGAGGAAUCGCUGUCGAGCUCGUUGUGGGCGCGUUUCGGCGCGUCUAACGGCGAAGACGCGACUCUCUGGCUGACGACGGACAGUAAGCAAUGGUGUCCGGCGCCGUGUUUCGUACUCGGCGUCGGUGCCGGUCAGCGACGAUUUCUUCGGGCCUCUUUCCGACCCGUCUUGAAACACGGACCAAGGAGUCUAACAUGCGCGCGAGUCGCGGGGUAUCGAGCGUACCAUGGUGCGCUCGUUACAUCACGAAACCCGUACACUUGAAGGCGUAAUGAAAGUGAAUGGGGAAGAUGGCGUUCCGAGUUCACGUUCCGUGAUCUAGUAUCAUGGCCGGACGCCCGCAUUCCCGGGGCGUCUCAACGGUUCGUCGCGAACGCGGACGGCUGUCUUUCGGGGCGGUCGUCGGUCUGCGACGGACCGA
rnacentral:rRNA from 1 species